UACAGAGGGGGCAAGCGUUGUUCGGAAUUACUGGGCGUAAAGGGCGCGUAGGCGGCCUGUUAAGUCGAACGUGAAAUCCCCGGGCUCAACCCGGGAACUGCGUCCGAUACUGGCAGGCUUGAAUCCGGGAGAGGGAUGCGGAAUUCCAGGUGUAGCGGUGAAAUGCGUAGAUAUCUGGAGGAACACCGGUGGCGAAGGCGGCGACCUGGGUAGAUACUGACGCUGAGGCGCGAAAGCGUGGGGAGCAAACAGG
rnacentral:rRNA from 1 species